UACGGAGGGUGCAAGCGUUGUCCGGAAUCACUGGGUGUAAAGGGUGUGUAGGCGGGACAGCAAGUCAGAGGUGAAAUCCUACGGCUCAACCGUAGAACUGCCUUUGAGACUGCUGUUCUUGAGUCUCGGAGAGGUUACCAGAAUUCGUGGUGUAGCGGUGAAAUGCGUAGAUAUCACGAGGAAUACCCGUGGCGUAGGCAGGUAACUGGACGAGUACUGACGCUGAGGCACGAAAGCGUGGGGAGCAAACAGG
rnacentral:rRNA from 1 species